ACAGUUUUGCAUUAAAUGAUAGGUAAAAACUAAAACUUUUAAUAACUGUUUCUUUUAUAUUUGUAGAUCUUGCUGUUUCUCUACAUAAAAAUCUAAUAUAAGCUGAUUUAGCACAAAAUAUGUGAAAUUAUAUAUAUUUUUAUUUCUUUUGUUAUUGUUUUUGUUAUUAUUAUUUUGAGACAGGCUGUCACUUUGUCACCCAGGCUUUUUCAUUUGAUUCUAAGACCAUACCUUUUAUAACUUAUACAUUUUCCUUUAUUAUAUAUUGAGGUUCUCUGAUCAGUCCAAUAACCUCAUUGUCU
ensembl:lncRNA novel transcript